rnacentral:rRNA from 1 species
GAGUGAUCCUGGCUCAGAUUGAACGCUGGCGGCAUGCCUUACACAUGCAAGUCGAACGGCAGCACGGGAGCUUGCUCCUGGUGGCGAGUGGCGAACGGGUGAGUAAUGCAUCGGAACGUAUCCUGGAGUGGGGGAUAACGUAGCGAAAGUUACGCUAAUACCGCAUAUUCUGUGAGCAGGAAAGCGGGGGACCUUCGGGCCUCGCGCUCUUGGAGCGGCCGAUGUCGGAUUAGCUAGUUGGUGAGGUAAAGGCUCACCAAGGCGACGAUCCGUAGCAGGUCUGAGAGGAUGAUCUGCCACACUGGAACUGAGACACGGUCCAGACUCCUACGGGAGGCAGCAGUGGGAAUUUUGGACAAUGGGGGCAACCCUGAUCCAGCCAUGCCGCGUGAGUGAAGAAGGCC